rnacentral:sRNA from 1 species
GCCAGGUGUGGUGUCACAUGCCUGUAAUCCCAGAGACUUGGGAGGCUGAGGCAGGAGGAUAGCAAGUUCCAGGCCAGCCUAGACAAUUUAGCUUGUCUCAA